GGGUCCUCAGGGUGAUGUAAGAAGGGGACAGCUGUGAAGUGUCCGCAUCUACUAUGGAUUCAGUAGUCAGACAGCAGAUCGUGGCUUCUGAGAAUGCCUUGGUAAUAAGAACAGGCUCUUUUCUGUUGCCCAUUCCCAGAACAGAUCCCUGGAUUUUUUUGCUACAAGCUUUGUCAUCUAGAAGAGCCUUCAAAUCCCUAGUGUGGCUAAUAAGACCUACCUGCUAAUAUAACUUAAAAGUAAUUAAAGAGCACUUCUGUGCAAGGUUUAAGUUCCUGAUAAAAGAAUGACUCAAUGGUGCACUUAUGCAGAUUCCUAGGAUCACUGUCCUGUAAUAGCAAUUUAUAACUGAAAAGUUUCUGAAACUAUUUAGCAGUUUUCAGCCUCAAUUUGAAGAGCAUAUAUUUCAGUGUUACUUAGAGAAGUGGACCUGUACAACCAAAAUAUCUUUGCAGUAAACCCUCAGUUUUGCUGCCUGUAGUUACUGAAAGAAAGCAGAUCAGAACUAAGUGCAAGGCAUUCUGUUCCCAAUUUCAAUAAAAAGAUCCAUGCACUUUGUUGCUGCAGUGGAAGGAGUGUAUGCCAUGCUGCUUUCUUAAUAUCUUUGAAAUCAAACUCCUGUCUUAAAAAGAUUGUUAAAGUUAAUUAAUGAGAGAAUUACAUAGAGUUUAGUUUGCCCAGUGAGAGAAGUAUAAACCUUUAAAAUGUUAUAUUGUAGAAGUCUCUGAGUCCUCAGCCAACAGCACUGUUUGAUGCGUAUUUCAUCAAAUAUCUUUCUUCAAAAUGAGUGUGAUUAGAAAUACUGUGAUUAGAAAUACAUAAAGUUAAUGAAUUGUCAAAAAGCAGUUUUCUUUAGAAAGCAUCUUUUCUGAAAAUGCCUAUUUUAAUCUUUGUAGUACAACUGUCUCUGGUAUUUCUGUCAUUUGGUAAUGCUUCCAGACACAUUCAUGGUGGUCAUCUUUGAUCAUAUAAAUUCAAGAGAUU
rnacentral:lncRNA from 7 species